rnacentral:tRNA from 1 species
CUACGCAUAAGGGGCGUCUUCGUAUUUUUAAGCGUUAUGGGUUAAAAUUACAUCCGUUGUAUUCAGCGCGUCU